AUUGAACGCUGGCGGCAGGCCUAACACAUGCAAGUCGAGCGGAUGAAGGGAGCUUGCUCCUGGAUUCAGCGGCGGACGGGUGAGUAAUGCCUAGGAAUCUGCCUGGUAGUGGGGGAUAACGUCCGGAAACGGGCGCUAAUACCGCAUACGUCCUGAGGGAGAAAGUGGGGGAUCUUCGGACCUCACGCUAUCAGAUGAGCCUAGGUCGGAUUAGCUAGUUGGUGGGGUAAAGGCCUACCAAGGCGACGAUCCGUAACUGGUCUGAGAGGAUGAUCAGUCACACUGGAACUGAGACACGUUCCAGACUCCUACGGGAGGCAGCAGUGGGUAAUAUUGGACGAUGGGCGAAAGCCUGAUCCAGCCAUGCCGCGUGUGUGAAGAAGGUCUUCGGAUUGUAAAGCACUUUAAGUUGGGAGGAAGGGCAGUAAGUUAAUACCUUGCUGUUUUGACGUUACCAACAGAAUAAGCACCGGCUAACUUCGUG
rnacentral:rRNA from 1 species